GAAUUUAANUUUAGGUCUGGCNNNCCCACUGAAUUAUUUAAAUGGCCNUGGUAUUUUGACCGUGCUAAGGUAGCAUAAUCAUUAGUUUUUUAAUUAAAAGCUGGAAUGAAGGGUUAGAUAAAAAAGUAACUGUCUCUAUUUAAUUUUAUUAGAAUUUUAUUUUUAAGUUAAAAAGCUUAAAUUAAAUUGAAAGACGAGAAGACCCUAUAGAGUUUUAUUAUAGUUUUUAUUUUUUAUUUUAGAAUUUAUUUAUUAAAUUUAAUUUAUAAUUUGAUUGGGGCGAUUGAAAAAUAUUAUUAACUUUUUUUGUAUAAUAACAUUAAUUUAUGAAUUAUUGAUCCAAUUUUUUUUGAUUAUAAGAUAUAAUUACCUUAGGGAUAACAGCGUAAUUUUUUUAGAAAGUUCAAAUUGAAAAAAAAGAUUGCGACCUCGAUGUUGGAUUAAAAUUAAUUUUCGGUGCAGAAGCUGAAAUAUUAGG
rnacentral:rRNA from 1 species